AAGUCAGUAACAAGGUUUCCGUAGGUAGAACCUGCGAAGGAUCAUUACCUUUCUGGCUGAUUUAAUUAGACUUUGUCUGGGGGACUGCAGUUUCUGCAGUCUCCAUGACUACAGUCCGUGGUUUUUUGCGUACUAUAUGUUUCCUCGGCGGGCUUGCUUGCCGGUUGGGCAAACUAAAACUCUUUGCAAUUGCAAUCAGCGUCUGAAUUAUAUAAUAAUUACAA
rnacentral:misc_RNA from 1 species